rnacentral:rRNA from 1 species
CUUGGCCGGAGGUCUGGGUAAUCUUGUGAAACUUUGUCGUGCUGGGGAUAGAGCAUUGCAAUUAUUGCUCUUCAACGAGGAAUUCCUAGUAAGCGUGAGUCAUCAGCUCGCGUUGAUUACGUCCCUGCCCUUUGUACACACCGCCCGUCGCUACUACCGAUUGAAUGGCUUAGUGAGGUCUCCGGAUUGGCUUUGGGGAGCCGGCAACGGCACUCUAUUGCUGAGAAGCUGAUCAAACUUGGUCAUUUAGAGGAAGUAAAAGUCGU